rnacentral:rRNA from 1 species
AACGCGAAGAACCUUACCUGGGCUCGAACGGCUUAAGAUCAUCUUUGGAAACAGAGACUUCUCGCAAGAGACUUGAGUCGAGGUGCUGCAUGGCUGUCGUCAGCUCGUGUCGUGAGAUGUUGGGUUAAGUCCCGCAACGAGCGCAACCCUUGUCCUGUGUUGCCACUCCGCAAGGAAGCACUCUCAGGAGACCGCCAGCGAUAAGUUGGAGGAAGGUGGGGAUGAUGUCAAGUCAUCAUGGCCUUUAUGUCCAGGGCUACACACGUGCUACAAUGGGCGGUACAAAGCGCUGCAAACCCGCGAGGGGGAGCCAAUCGCAAAAAACCGUUCUCAGUUCGGAUCGCAGGCUGCAACUCGCCUGCGUGAAGCUGGAAUCGCUAGUAAUGCCGUAUCAGAAUGAUGGCGUGAAUACGUUCCCGGGCCUUGUA